CCUACGGGUGGCUGCAGUGGGGAAUAUUGGACAAUGGGCGAAAGCCUGAUCCAGCCAUGCCGCGUGUGUGAAGAAGGCCUUCGGGUUGUAAAGCACUUUCAGUGGGGAAGAAAGCCUUGGGGCUAAUACCCUCGAGGAAGGACAUCACCCACAGAAGAAGCACCGGCUAACUCCGUGCCAGCAGCCGCGGUAAUACGGAGGGUGCGAGCGUUAAUCGGAAUUACUGGGCGUAAAGCGCGCGUAGGCGGUCUGAUAAGCCGGUUGUGAAAGCCCCGGGCUCAACCUGGGAACGGCAUCCGGAACUGUCAGGCUAGAGUGCAGGAGAGGAAGGUAGAAUUCCCGGUGUAGCGGUGAAAUGCGUAGAGCUCGGGAGGAAUACCAGUGGCGAAGGCGGCCUUCUGGACUGACACUGACGCUGAGGUGCGAAAGCGUGGGUAGCAAACAGGAUUAGAUACCCUAGUAGUC
rnacentral:rRNA from 1 species